CCUCACUGUGUGUGAAGGACUUUUGAGAAGACUGUCUGAGCUUGACAUUUGCCAUGUUUGGAGUGAGAUGGCAAUGAAAGAGACAGUGGGACAAAGAGAGACACGGGACAAAGCUGAAGAAAACUGACUGCCAUUGGACUGAAAAGUGGGAGAGAAGGAAAGGAGCAGAAGAGGACUGAGGUGGCUGUUUUAGUGUGGGCAAUCAAAUUGGGGUUAAGGAAUCCGGGGAGACAAGCGACUGCCUGGAAGUGGAGGAUUGACACAGUGUCCAGACCACCACAAAAGGGGGAGGAAGACAAGCACUGAGGUAUGCAAGUGUACUGUUAGAAAAAUGGAAAGGUGACACCACACAUGCAGCUAAUAUGCACCAGAGAUAUAAAAAAAAAAUCAUACACAAAGUGUUACACAUUAAGAGAGGGCAUUUGUAGAAGGGGUUAACAACACACAGUGUGGUUGCCGAUGGUAACCUGCAAGCAUUUGGGGUUUAGCUGUGCCUGACUAUGACAGAGUUUUUCAUUUAGAUGUUUCUGAAACAAACUUUGGAGUGAACGGAGUUUGUUUCAGAAAAAAGGGGGAAGGUACAUGAAAGGAUACAUAAAGACAGAAAAUGUAUUAACCCGACACACACACACACACACACACACACACACACACACACACACACACACACACACACACACACACACACGUAAUGAAGAUAUGAAGAUCAAACACAAUUUUAAGUAGGUAAUACUGUCACCAUCAUCCUGUCUGGUUUAUUGAGUGGAUUGAGAACUGAUACAUAGACGACUGAAUUAGCAGGGUGAACAGAAUCCUGCAGCCAGAGUUUAAAUGAGUGAAACUAAAUGAGUGAAACUAGCAGAUUUUUGUUUUGUUUUUUGUUUUGUUUUGUUACUGAAGUAUGGGUGUUUUCUCACCUAUAAGAGAAAGAAUAUCCUGUGACAAGUCCUAAGACCGGGCUUCUGUAUUUUUUCUUUUUAUUUUGUUUUUCAGUUUUAUUUGUCAUUUUUCAUUUUAUUUUUAUUUUUUGAACAGUGCACUGAUUUUUGUUUGUGAAUUUCUUUUCUUUAAGCAGAUCUGCACGUCGGGAAUUAAAAGCGCUACACGUAAUCGAGAGAAUUGUUGCAAGUGAGUUUCUCCACAUUAAAAUGGGCUCUGGAGAAAGCCACUUAUUUGGGACAAUUAGAAAAUGAGAGUCUCUGCCUAAAAAAGAUUCAGCGAGGUAAUCCGAUCUAAAGUUCUUCUUCUUUUUCUUUUUGAAAUGACGUCAUUUUGCUGAAAGUGGAAACUAAAUGCGACGAUAGGUUCCACUAUCAGCAAAGAAAGAAAGAAUGGAUGAAUGAAUGAAUGAAUGAAUGAAUGAAUGAAUGAAUGAAUGAAUGGAAAUAAAAUAAAAACAAACUGACUGACUGGUAAAAGCUGACAAGACUUAACUACGACUCAAGGUUAAGCUCCACCUAGACAGGACAAAAGGGUGGAUGAAUUUAUGUGUUUCCUUUUACAGGAGCAGAAAGAUGACAGCAACAUCUGAGGUUGCGUGAUGGUUUCACCUUUUAAAUGCCAUUUUCUGUGUUUGUGAAUCUACCAGGGGUGUGUUAUUCA
ensembl:lncRNA